GACGAACCGUGCGAACGUUGUUCGGAAUCACUGGGCUUAAAGGGCGCGUAGGCGGCCCGCCGCGUCCGGGGUGAAAUCCUCCCGCUCAACGGGAGAACGGCCUCGGAUACGGGCGGGCUGGAGGGGGGUAGGGGCAGGCGGAACUGUGGGUGGAGCGGUGAAAUGCGUUGAGAUCCACAGGAACUCCGGUGGCGAAGGCGGCCUGCUGGACCCCAUCUGACGCUGAGGCGCGAAAGCCAGGGGAGCGAACAGG
rnacentral:rRNA from 1 species